UCGCGACCCCAGGUCAGACGGGAUGACCCGCUGAGU
rnacentral:rRNA from 1 species